rnacentral:rRNA from 1 species
AUUGAACGCUGGCGGCAGGCCUAACACAUGCAAGUCGAACGGUAACAGGAAGCAGCUUGCUGCUUCGCUGACGAGUGGCGGACGGGUGAGUAAUGUCUGGGAAACUGCCUGAUGGAGGGGGAUAACUACUGGAAACGGUAGCUAAUACCGCAUAAUGUCGCAAGACCAAAGAGGGGGACCUUCGGGCCUCUUGCCAUCGGAUGUGCCCAGAUGGGAUUAGCUAGUAGGUGGGGUAACGGCUCACCUAGGCGACGAUCCCUAGCUGGUCUGAGAGGAUGACCAGCCACACUGGAACUGAGACACGGUCCAGACUCCUACGGGAGGCAGCAGUGGGGAAUAUUGCACAAUGGGCGCAAGCCUGAUGCAGCCAUGCCGCGUGUAUGAAGAAGGCCUUCGGGUUGUAAAGUACUUUCAGCGGGGAGGAAGGCGAUAAGGUUAAUAACCUUGUCGAUUGACGUUAUCCGCAGAAGAAGCACCGGCUAACUCCGUGCCAGCCGCCGCAGUAA